GAUCAUGGCUCAGAUUGAACGCUGGCGGCAGGCUUAACACAUGCAAGUCGAGCGGGGGAAGGUAGCUUGCUACUGGACCUAGCGGCGGACGGGUGAGUAAUGCUUAGGAAUCUGCCUAUUAGUGGGGGACAACAUCUCGAAAGGGAUGCUAAUACCGCAUACGUUCUACGGGAGAAAGCAGGGGAUCUUCGGACCUUGCGCUAAUAGAUGAGCCUAAGUCGGAUUAGCUAGUUGGUGGGGUAAAGG
rnacentral:rRNA from 1 species